AAUCAACGCUGGCGGCGUGCCUCAGACAUGCAAGUCGAACGAUUAAAGCUCCCUUCGGGGAGUGCAUAGAGUGGCGCACGGGUGAGUAACACGUAAGUAAUCUACCUUCGAGUGGGGAAUAACGUCCGGAAACGGACGCUAAUACCGCAUAAUGCAGCGGCAUCGCAAGAUGACAGUUGUUAAAGGAGCAAUUCGCUUGAAGAGGAGCUUGCGGCAGAUUAGCUAGUUGGUAAGGUAAUGGCUUACCAAGGCUACGAUCUGUAGCCGGUCUAAGAGGACGGUCGGUCACACUGACACUGAACAACGGGUAAGACUCCUACGGGAGGCAGCAGUCGGGAAUUUUGGGCAAUGGGCGAAAGCCUGACCCAGCAACGCCGCGUGAAGGAUGAAGUAUUUCGGUAUGUAAACUUCGAUAGAAUGGGAAGAAUAAAUGACGGUACCAUUUAUAAGGUCCGGCUAACUACGUGCCAGCCGCCGCCGUAA
rnacentral:rRNA from 1 species